AUUGAACGCUGGCGGCAGGCCUAACACAUGCAAGUCGAGCGGAGUGGCGAACGGGUGAGUAAUGUAUCGGAACGUGCCCCGUAGCGGGGGAUAACUACGCGAAAUCGUCGCUAAUACCGCAUACUAUUGGAGCGGCCGAUAUCGGAUUUGCUAGUGGGUGGGGUAACGGCUCACCAAGGCGACGAUCCGUAGCUGGUUUGAGAGUACGACCAGCCACACUGGGACUGAGACACGGCCCAGACUCCUACGGGAGGCAGUAGUGGGGAAUGUUGGACAAUGGGGGAAACCCUGAUCCAGCCAUCCCGCGUGUGCGAUGAAGGCCUUCGGGUUGUAAAGCACUUUUGGCAGGAAAGCGGUACCUGCAGAAUAAGCACCGGCUAACUACGUGCCAGCAGCCGCGGUAAUUC
rnacentral:rRNA from 1 species